GGCCGCAGUAGACUGACUGUGCUAAGGUAGCAAAAUCAUUAGUCUUUUAAUUGAAGGCCCGUAUAAACGAUUUGACAUAGAGCUGCCUAUCUCAAAAUUAAAUUUUAUAAUUUUAUUUUUAGGUAAAAAAGCCUUAUGAUAUUAAAAAGACGAUAAGACCCUAAAAUCUACUUAAAAUCAAAAAGUUAUUAAGAUUAAUUUUAAUGGUAUUUAAGUAUACUGGGGCGGUAACUAUAAAAUAAACUAUAAAAUAUUUAACACCCUGAGUGAUUUAAAAAUAACCUUUAUUGAAUAUAAUAAGAUACUUUAGGGAUAACAGCAUAAUAUAUUUUUAGAGUCCUUAUUGACAAAUAUGUUUAUGACCUCGAUGUUGAAUUGAAUAAACUACAUUUAGAAGAAUAAAUAGUAAGUAAGUCUGUUCGACUUUUAAUAGUUCACAUGAUUUGAGUUCCAACCGGC
rnacentral:rRNA from 1 species